CCUACGGGCGGCACCAGUAGGGAAUCUUCCGCAAUGGACGAAAGUCUGACGGAGCGACGCCGCGUGAGCGAAGAAGGUCUUCGGAUCGUAAAGCUCUGUUGUUAGGGAAGAAGAAGUACCGUUCGAAUAGGGCGGCACCUUGACGGUACCUAACCAGAAAGCCACGGCUAACUACGUGCCAGCAGCCGCGGUAAUACGUAGGUGGCAAGCGUUGUCCGGAAUUAUUGGGCGUAAAGCGCGCGCAGGCGGUUUCUUAAGUCUGAUGUGAAAGCCCCCGGCUCAACCGGGGAGGGUCAUUGGAAACUGGGGAACUUGAGUGCAGAAGAGGAGAGUGGAAUUCCACGUGUAGCGGUGAAAUGCGUAGAGAUGUGGAGGAACACCAGUGGCGAAGGCGACUCUCUGGUCUGUAACUGACGCUGAGGCGCGAAAGCGUGGGGAGCGAACAGGAUUAGAUACCCCAGUAGUC
rnacentral:rRNA from 1 species